rnacentral:lncRNA from 1 species
CAUUCGAGACCUUCUGGGUGGGAAGGAGGCAGCCAUGUGGUGAUCUGGGGAAGAGUGCUGCAAGCAGAAAGGCAAGUAAAAACAAAAGCCCUGAGGCAGAAAUGUGCUCCUUAUGCUUAAGAAACACCGUGAAGGCCAACGUGGUUGGAGCAAUGUGAGCAAGAAGAAUAGAGGGGCCUUGGGAACAUAGGUAGCUGAGUCCUCAUGGAUCAAGGGAGAGGAACAAUUAUUACUUGCUGAGAGGAGCUAAGCUGAUCUGCAUGAUGAAGGAAUGGAAUGGGCUAAGGAAGACGUCCAGACAGGGAAAAGCCUUAUGGGGCACCUUGACUUUAAGUGUCUGUUACACCAAAGGUUAUGGCAAACUGUGUCUGCAGCCCACAGUAAAAUCCAGUUUAAGGCUCUCCACACUGGAGUGCAGCUAUCCAGUUUUUCAGCCAUUUCCAAAAGGAAUUAUAUUGAUGUGUUAGUUGACAAGCCUACAAUGAAAAGAUAGAUGGGAAAAGAAGACCAUCAGACAGGUGGCUGGAUAUGUGGAGACAAGCACGAAGAAGUCCAGGCUCUGUCACGACGUUGCUGACUGGCUUCUGUCACAUUUUCAGGCAUCUUUUAGCUAGAGGUGCGCGUGUGACACCACAUGGACUGUGAGAAAUAGUCAAGUUCAGCCUAGUGACGCUUCUGGCAAAGCUUGUUUUCCUGAUUUUUAAAAAAGGAGUUGGGGGAGUGCCAUGCCUUUUGUCCUUCCUCCCUCCUCCUGCCUGGAACAUGGAUGUGAGACCAGGAAGUACAGCAGCCAUCUUGUGACCAUGAGGACUAAAGGCCUGCGCUGAGGAUGGUACAGUAAAAUGAAAGAAGCAGCCUGGAUGCCUGAUGAGCAGCUGUGCCAGCCCCAGGGUCAUGCAAAUCAGUGUCAAUCAUUGUGGUUCUGGUUUUCUCCUAUUUGUAGCCAAAUAAAUUCCUUACUGAUAUAGGCAGGGUCCUUGUUGGUUCCAAAAAAAAGUGGAUUCACAGAAAUAUAACUGAGAGAACCAUGAAUUUCUAAAGAAGUCCUAGAAAUAGAUCAGUCAGAGAAGUUGUCCAUUUCAGGCAGGGGUUUCUACUGUAAGUUGCUUGGAUGGAAAAUAAAUCAGUGUUAAGGAGGUGAGAAUGCCAUCACUUGAAUUGUAUGACUAUAUCUUAUUAAAUCUCAGAUGCCAUCAGUUGUAAGGUAUAGCAUUAUUUUACAUAUCACUAUGAGAGAAGAAAAUGCUCUCAAGACAUAUCACUGAUUGUAAGAUGCAUCCACCUUGAUUUCAGAGAUUUUAAAAUGUGAAAAAAGGGAGGGACAUCUUAGGAUCAGUGAAAUAUGGCACAUAUUUAUUUGCUUCCUUGAUUCCUGCCUGCUGUGCUCAUUAGACCAGAGACACUGUCUGCCAUGCUCUCUGCCAAGUCCUCCAUACCUAGAAUUGGGCCUGGCAUAGAGUGGGGUCUAUAAAUAUUGGUUAAUUAAUAAGUUAACUAAUAAGUUCUAGUCCUUGCUUUUCCAAUAACUUCCCAUGCUACCCUGGCUGGAGAAAGCAUUUCCCUUUCUCUGUACCUCAUUUCUCCAUAAUCUAGUUCAACUGACCCUCACCAGAACUGAAGAAACAAAAAGCCCCAAAUACAUGCAAAGCGGACCUACACUCUGCAUCACCAUGGUGACGCCUCCCAGGGUCCCAGAGGGCAGGGAGGCCUCAUCUUCCACCAUCCCUAGAAAUCUCUCUUUCCCCAGAGCCCAACUCCUUCUAAAGCUCUGUGGUUAACCCUUUCCAGGCAAGCCUUUUCCAACACUCUGUUAGGGUUACUAAAUGUGCUCCCUACAAAUGGACUAGGGCCAAGGAAUUAUGCAAGAUCCUUCAAGCAAAGAGAUGGUAUUUUGUAACUUCCCUGAGUUUCUCCAGGAAGAUGAAAUGCACAACAUAUUUUAGAAUAAUAUCAACCUACAUAUGUCAGAGAGGUAGUCUUGUCUGACCAAAGCCCUUGAGCUGGUGAGGGGCGGGGUUCCAGGUGCCCCUUCUGCUGCACUAGCAUUGUAUUCAGAAGUAAUAAAGAUGAUGGCUUUCAUG